AAGACCUUGCACUUUUGGAGCGGCCGAUGUCUGAUUAGCUAGUUGGUGGGGUAAUGGCCUACCAAAGCUUCGAUCAGUAGCUGGUCUGAGAGGACGGCCAGCCACACUGGGACUGAGACACGGCCCAGACUCCUACGGGAGGCAGCAGUGGGGAAUUUUGGACAAUGGGCGCAAGCCUGAUCCAGCCAUGCCGCGUGAGUGAAGAAGGCCUUCGGGUUGUAAAGCUCUUUCAGCCGGGAAGAAAAGGUUGCGACUAAUAAUCGCAAUUCAUGACGGUACCGAAAGAAGAAGCACCGGCUAACUACGUGCCAGCAGCCGCGGUAAUACGUAGGGUGCGAGCGUUAAUCGGAAUUACUGGGCGUAAAGGGUGCGCAGGCGGUUUUGUAAGUCAGACGUGAAAUCCCCGGGCUUAACCUGGGAACU
rnacentral:rRNA from 1 species